rnacentral:rRNA from 1 species
UACGUAGGGAGCAAGCGUUGUCCGGAUUCAUUGGGCGUAAAGAGCGUGUAGGCGGCCGCUUAAGUCCUGCGUGAAAUCUCGGAGCUCAACUCCGAGCGUUUCGUGGGAAACUGGGCGGCUAGAGUGCGGGAGAGGAGAGUGGAAUUCCUGGUGUAGCGGUGAAAUGCGCAGAUAUCAGGAGGAACACCGGUGGCGAAGGCGGAUCUCUGGGCCGAUACUGACGCUGAGGAGCGAAAGCGUGGGGGAGCGAACAG